AGGUGACCUGUGGGUUUCCCUUUGUCGUCCUAUGCCUGGAGGUGUCUGUAAGGCAGGGACAGCAAGGGGAGCCUCAGCUGUCACCCCU
rnacentral:pre_miRNA from 1 species